GUGAAGGUGAGGGCAUCUCUUGACAGAGAUACCUGCUUACCUGAGGUCUUCUAAAGAAGUGUUCCUGAUAAAAUCUGGCAUUGUAAUGAUUUGGAGGCAAGGGUUUGGGAAGGAAAUGCACUGCAGCUUCAACACAACGACCUAAUCCUUCACAGCAUGCAUGAAAAGUCUGAGAACUUGUUAAUGGUGACGACCUGGCAAUAUCCUUUCUCUCCUUAUAGAGCUGGCAACACAUAACUCACUCUUACGACUUCACUCAUGCUUUUUCCCAGUGACUUAUAUGUGUGAUGACAAUGUUCAAUAGGAACUUAAUCUGGCAAAAGCCAUCUAGGAUCUUGAAAUGUAUCUCAAAUCUUCAUUUUUUUUUAUCAAAGAAAAAGGUUUCUAAAAUUGUUUUCCUGAGCCUGUUUUCUCUAAACUGCUUAGUCAACAGUAAUGCCCUCAAUCCAUCCAGUUCAUAUAGGACUCUAAUACUAUUACUGAAGUGAAAGUUCCCAACCUUUGAAAUCAGUGUUUCUUGUCCUUUUGAUCAUACCAAUCUCUCCUUUUCCCUUUCUUUCUCUCCCUCUCUUCCUUCUAUACAUCAGAUAUCUACUUGCCUAAUCUGGAUAGUUGUCUAUCUGUGUAACACAGGUAAAUACGUAGCAAAGAAAAUGAAAUCACAAGAGUGUCUAUUUUUACCAGCUUUUAAACAUCACAAAUCAGUUCAUGUUAUGGUUUGUGGGAUUGUUUAACCCUUAAUGAGUCUCUCAAGGAAAAUUGAACACAAAAUAAUGUUCCGCUUAUUUUACACAGUCAAAAGGAAAUUAAAAAGCAAUCCUUUAAAGCAUGGGAAAAUUUCUGUUGUCAUUAGAGGAUGUUGAGUCACCUAUCAGGUUUCAUCACGAUACUGGCAAACAGUUAUAAGAGGGCUGAAGGUUUCUCAAGAGUACAAGGUAAAGUGGGUGUAUAAUGUGAGUAGAAAAUAUUAGUCCUGUAUGUUAACAACUCAGUAAUCAAGAAUAUUGUAUGAUUUCCUGGUAAGUAGCUGGAUGUGC